rnacentral:rRNA from 1 species
AGAGCUCAAAUUUAAAAUCUGGCGGUGUAUUCCGUCCGAGUUGUAGUCUAGAGAAGCAUCAUCCGCGCUGGACCAUGUACAAGUCUCUUGGAACAGAGCGUCACAGAGGGUGAGAAUCCCGUCCUUGACAUGGACUCCCAGUGCUUUGCGUUGUGCUCUCGACGAGUCGAGUUGUUUGGGAAUGCAGCUCAAAAUGGGUGGUAAAUUCCAUCUAAAGCUAAAUACAGGCGAAAGACCGAUAGCGAA